GUUGCAAUAAUCCCCCCUUCCCUGUUUUACAGCAUCCUCCUUUGUGCCAAGCCAAAGCUAACAGGUAUGCUCCAACAAAUCCCAGUACUACAAAGCAAUGCAAGCGAGAAUGCGGGUGUAACAGUUGUUAAAGUACUAUGUGAAUUUCACCAGGUUCAUAUAUCAAUAUGUUGUGUUGAUUUGUUAUGCAUGCCUGCAUCCUGGGAGAAGGGGAGUGUGUACUUACGUUUUGCCCUGCGUGCUCGUGUUCAAAUCAUUUUGAUGCACUGAGAGAGGUAGGCACGCUUUUUCUGUCUUCAGAAAAGUUUGAUUCUCUUAUGUACAAAGUCAUACACACAGUGUUUUGUUCAUGAAUAAUGUAUAUUUAGAGGUUACUUAUAAGUGGAUGGUAUUAAGAUGCACUUGUAAUUGUACUUUUUAGGAUGAUAUCAACAUUCUGAAUUCAACAUGUGGUUAAUAGCUAGCUAAGGUAUUAGCAGGCUAUUGUAUGUGUGAACGAUGGCUAGCUCCUCGAAUGAUCCCAGUCCCUCGUAAUUGUGCAUCUGUUGUAGAAAGAGGCGACGAUUCUCAGAACAUACAUGCUCUACAAAUAUUUUAUUUCCUUUUGGAUGCAGACCUCCAUUUGCCUCCCCUUCACUUACCGGCUGCAAGGGUCGAAGCGCCGAGGAACAACUUCGCAUGCCAGAAGCCGUGUUUACUCAGAUUCCCGGAAGUUGGGAUUUACGACAUCAGACGUCAUUCCCUGACACCUUUAUUGGAACAUUGGAAAGAAAAAAGUACAAUGACAGCCUUUUCAAUGUUGUUUCUAUCAACCAUCUAUGUUUCUAUAUAUCAAUCAAAUAUCUAUUGUAUUCGUUUUAAUGAAAAUGUGACGUGUUUUACUCAUGCUACUAGUGAUAAUAAACUCAAACUCAAGGUGGUAGUAGGACAAACUCAAAAGGGGUUCUUUCUACUUGUGUGUGUUCACCAAUGAUGUUGAAAUGCUAUUUUCUAAUUCUCUGGGAAUGUAUGUAUCAGUUUUACCCCACAUAUUUGUUUUAACCCAAUAAUCAUUUUUAAUUCUAGUUUUCCUGCUCUUUAGCCUUUUGUUGUAUUCAUAUAUGGCCAGUGCCAUCCUUUUCAAAUGUUCUCUUAUCUAUUAGAAUUUGACAAAAAUUGAUAAAACCAUAAGAUUUAUUUAUAGAGUUUGGUUUUCACUAUUCGGAGCAGAUCAGUUUGAACAUGAUCCAUGUCCAUCCCAAUGUGAAACUUCAACCCUAAUGCCCUGUGCACUUCAGAGAUCUGAGAAGGUUUGACAGGAAUAUGGCAUUAAACCUAACUAGCCUGAAGCCUCAGCCCAGCCUCACAUUCAAUUCACGCAGAUAUGUACAAAAUGUAUUUCAGCAGAUUUUGUACAUUUUUGUGUGUUUCAAUUCGUUCGAAAAUACACAAAUUUAUGUGCUACUUAAUUAGUGUAUUUUCGAACGGAUUGAACCACACAAAAAUGCACAAAAUCUGCUGAAAUACAUUUUGGACAUAUAUGAAUUCAACCAAUUUAACACAAGCCUUUGCAACAACCAUAUAUACGCGAUCGCCUGUAUUUCAUUAUUUAUUAUUUUACGUUAUGAAUAUAUAGAUAUUUUGUAUAUUUUAAUCCCUAUUAAAACAUUGUGGUUGUAUGAAUAUAUGUACUGUUUUCAAUUUUUCAGAACAGAUUUUUCAGUAUAGAUUGAAUGCAUUGAAUGCAAUGCAUGACGGCUAAUGGUGUUUUAUUCGGUUGUAGUUCCAUGUAUUUCUUAAAAAACAAACGUGUAAACCAUUUUGAUUGACCAGAAUGUAACUGAAAAUACAAUGGCAGCCUUGCCAUUGUCCAUCAAUACCAAAAUAUAUUUAUUUUUCGUAUAACAUUUGGGGAAACAUAUGCAGUUAUUGUAGUCUUACAUUUUGUUGGCCAACCAAGGCUAGGGUGGCUGAGUGUGAAUACAUGGCUCUGAGUGUAAUCACCUUUUCACUAGAAACUUUCUUGUGUUCAAAUGACCGUCAGUGCGAAAUUACGUAACAGUUACGUAACAUAAGGUGAAUAAAGAAAGUUGCCACCUAUACAUUAGGCUAUAUAUUCCCCUUUUUCCUCUUUGCAUCUUCAAAGAAAUACACAUUGCCAUUUAAUCUGUAUUCAUAUUGUGACUUCUCCUUGGAAGAAGGAGAGAGGCACCUUAGGAGGUACGUAAAGGAGUUGAUGAAAUCUUGUUAAGACAGACAAUCAGGUGAGAGGAGGUCCUAACUAGUCAAUGAUCUAAAUUGAUCAAAACAUGUAGACACUGUAGACUUUAAGGACAGGAGUUGCACACAUGCCAUAGAACAACAUGAACAAGGAAGUGACAGACUAAUCGUGCAUUGUUGGUAAAUGGUGACAGACUGACUGAUCUGCAAGUAAUAAUAGAUAUGUAUUUGUUAUGCAAAGUGAUUUGUAGAUCAGUCAGUCUGUGGAGGAGGAUGAAGACCUUUAGUGAUCUGCAGGACAUAGUAAAACACACAUGCUGUCAAUGACAUGCAGCUUUUCUCAUAGACGGGGAGGUUACUAUGUGAAGGAAUGUGUUAGGUUUGGAAGUUUUCUCUUUUAUGUUUCUUUUGAGAUGGUAUGGCCUCUGAGGACCCCCAAGACCAACUGGAUGAGGCUAUUGAAAAGGCAGAACGCCUUGCUGAGGAGCUCAACCAAGAGAAGGACCCACAAGCCCAACUGGAUGAGGCCAUUAACAAGGCAAAAAGACUGGCUGAGGAGCUCAACCCAGAACGGGAAAAGAAGAAGAAAAAGACAAACAAGCCUCCAGGGAUUAGGUUCAGAUGGAGACAAAGGGAUGAGAGAGGACAGAUUGUUUCUCAAACCAGGAAGGUAACUACAUCCACUUCUGUUGCUCCAAGAGCCAGUACAUUAAGAGCCAGACUAGUACAACAUUUUGGGCCAGUCACUGAGGAAGAAUCAGAGAUGAGGACCAGUAGAUUGGAAUCCACUCCAGUUUUAAACAUUGAUGAAGAAAUAGGUCGCUACAAUGUCACAGUGCCUGUGCUUACCUGCACAACUUGUCUUAGCACCUGGACAGCAAACUUGGCAGAUCUGAUAAAGAAUGGGUACUGGCCUGCAACUGUCAACUGUGACACCAUAUACCAUGUAGAUCUGUUCAGCUCUUUUGAGGAGCUGAAAGUGUCAGCCCCAGGAAUGUCCCGUCUGGCGUUUAUGCAGAUUUUGGAGCAGCGUACUGACUACUUUGGCAGAGUAACAAUCAAUUAUACUCAGCUUUACCAAUGUAUGACUUCAGGUUAACUAUGUUACAACACUUUGUGUAACAUAACUUUAUUUCCAGUACUAUAACUAUGUUUAAACUUCAGGUCUCUUGCUACAGUAUGUGUUAGCCUCCUGCCCCACUGUCCUGCCAUGCACCUUAUCUGUGCCCCUCUUGCAUCCAAUAUUUCCUGCUGUUUACAACAUAAGUACUCGUCUUACUUUUGCAUUGACUUUCACCUGCUUUGCUGUCAACACUAUGUACUUUAACUCAAAUCCAGUCAGCCAUAGUGAAUUAUAGGAUGUUUUGUUUAUACUAUUGUUGUAAGUUAUUGAAUAUACAGUAUUUUCUUUAUGUAUUUUUCCCUCACCAGAACAGAAUGAUCUGUGGGGACACUUUUCAAAAAAGCUUCUUUGAGUGGACGUACUGCCGCUCUGAAAUUGAUCAGGUCUGUGAUAUACAGUACUUUGACUGCCCAGCCUGUUCACCCAGCAUGCUUGCAGUGUCUGUGGAUGGGAACAAGAAGCUGUAUCAAUUCAAAAAAGGGGUUAUGGAAAAGGGGUAUGUGGAGCAUCCCAGUGGACAGCAGCUAAAGAGCCGUCAAGGAAAACAAACAACAAACUUGAUGAAGAGGGACUCAAAGUUGCCGUCUGCCGCCAAGGAAUACUUCUAAGGAGCCUCAACAUGAUGCGUGGAGAGAGAUUUGCGUACCCACUGUUCUUGCAGAAGGAAUUGUCUGGCAGCAGGAACAUACAAUUCAUGUGUACGGAUGGGAUCUUGCGAUACGUUUGUAGCUCACUUUAUAUGAAGAAUAUCUAAAUGCAUAUUCUCAUGAAACUGAUUAAGAUCAAAUGGUUGGCAUGCUGAUGCUCCAUAAAUGUUUCAAUGGUAAAUCAUGGUGAAUUUGGCCAAACAUUUAUGAUUGACAGUGAUACAUGUGAGGAAGAGUGAGGAAUACAUUUGUGCAUAAAGUAGGUUAAACUGGAGAAACGCGGUCCUCGGCCUUGAUCCAGUCAUCGUCCCAUUUCUUGCCAAUGUAAGAAAAGUAAGAAAACAUAAGGAAUGUCAUGUUUUUAAGCAGAAAUAGAUCAUAAAUCAUUCAAUAUGUAAUUGUGAGCACGGGUUGCACCUAUUCCUUUGAAAAGGGUUUUAUGAUUUUUGGUUAAACCUAAUCUGGUCUUGACGUUGGUCAAGUGCCUUCCUCUCAAAUAUAAUAUUUCAACUACAUAAAGUACCUUGCAAAAGUAUUCAUACUCCUUGGAUUUCACCACAUUUUAUUGUGUUACAAUGUUGGAUUUGAAAUUGAUUUUAUUUUUAUUUUUUUCAACAAGCAACUCAAAAUGUAAUACUCUAAUGUCAAAGUGGAAGAAAAUGUAGAUUUUUUAUAAAGGCAUGCCUAAGUUAGUUCACAAGUUAAAUUUGGUUUAACAAAUCACAUAAAAUGUUAUAUGGACUCAAAAGGGGUUAACAUUAUUUUUGAAUAACUACCCAUACAUCUGUACCCCAUACGUAGAACAUCUGUAAGGUUGUAACGGUUUUCUUCUGGUGAAAGAGAAGCGGACC